rnacentral:lncRNA from 1 species
GGAUGAUACAUAUCCUUUAUGUGCAAAAAAGUCUACAUUUUAAUUAUACAGGGGCUGCUGAAGGCUCGCUGGCCUUGGCCUCUUCUCGUCAGGCAAGUCUCCGUGCUGCUGAUCGUGUGGAUGGCGCGGUGGAUGGAGAUGCUUCUGCCUGUGCUGUCUGCCCGCGAGCUGCUGGGGUGGCCGGGUGCCACGGCGUAAAACCUGCUUUUGCGGAGCUGGUGUAGGAGAGGUAACGUCUAGGUGAGGGAGGGCAGAUAA